rnacentral:lncRNA from 1 species
GUUCCUGCUGUGUUUCCGCACCGGAGGGGGCCGUCGCCGCCACCACGACUUGCCUUCGCGAAAAGAAGAAAAACUGAGAUUCUUGCAGAAUUGCUGGGCAGUGAAAAUGAAGAAAUGGAAAUGCCAGGCCCCAGUUCAAGUCAGAACGCUUCACCUGAUAAUUCAGCAGUGGACGCAACACUUCAUGGUUGCCCAGAUGAUCAUCC